AUACUUUUCUCGACCUUUUGGCUAAAAUCAAGUGAAGUAUCUAAGUGUAGUAUAUGUUCUUAUCAGUUUAGUAUAUGAUAUAAGGUCCAUUGGACUAUACGAUAUUAAAGCUGUCAAGAUAGUUUGUUAUUUGGACUUUUGCUAGUCGUUCAUGCGGUUGCAUUACCGCAUGGGCCUGGCUCAACCCAU